UCGAAGUCUAGUCAGAUAAAUAGCAGCGGAAAGGGUACAAUGGGAACAAAUGCACCUGAGAAAAUCUGUUGCAAUUUAAUAUUUUCGUGCUAUCAAGAAAAUUUAGGCUACCUGAAGAGAGCUCUUAAAUGUCGUGAAUAAUGUCUGGCAAAAGAGCGAAUCACAGUAAAAAGACGCCGAAAUCCGAGAUUUUGAAGUAUAUUAUUAACUCUCUGCAUACUGGUGAGCAUUCCCAUAUGCUCUAUUUCGUGAACAAGGCAGAAGAUAUAUUCGAGAUUAAAUUCGUCAACAGAAGAAGCUCACAGUGGAAAGAAAAAGAUA